CACCUACGGGUGGCUGCAGUCGAGAAUCAUCCGCAAUGGGCGAAAGCCUGACGGUGCGACGCCGCGUGGAGGAUGAAGGCCUUCGGGUUGUAAACUCCUGUCACAGGUUAAGAAUGUCCUAUCAUUAAUAGUGGUAGGGUUGACGUAACCCUGAGAGGAAGCACUGGCUAACUCUGUGCCAGCAGUCGCGGUAAGACAGAGGAGGCAAGCGUUGUUCGGAAUCACUGGGCUUAAAGCGCGUGUAGGCGGCUUGGUAAGUGUCGUGUGAAAUCCCAUGGCUCAACCAUGGAACUGCACGGCAAACUACCUAGCUUGAGGUCGGUAGAGGUGCCUGGAACUCUAGGUGGAGCGGUGAAAUGCGUAGAUAUCUAGAGGAACGCCAGAAGCGAAAGCGGGGCACUGGGCCGAUUCUGACGCUGAGACGCGAAAGCGUGGGGAGCAAACAGGAUUAGAUACCCUGGUAGUCCACGCCGUAAACGAUGCACACUAGACGUUGGGGCCUCUGACGGAACCGGCGUCGUAGCAAAAGUGCUAAGUGUGCCGCCUGGGGAGUACGGCCGCAAGGCUAAAACUCAAAGGAAUUGACGGGGGCUCACACAAGCGGUGGAG
rnacentral:rRNA from 1 species